AUAAUGGGUCAGCGACUUAUAUUCUGUAGCAAGGUUAACCGAAUAGGGGAGCCGAAGGGAAACCGAGUCUUAACUGGGCGUUAAGUUGCAGGGUAUAGACCCGAAACCCGGUGAUCUAGCCAUGGGCAGGUUGAAGGUUGGGUAACACUAACUGGAGGACCGAACCGACUAAUGUUGAAAAAUUAGCGGAUGACUUGUGGCUGGGGGUGAAAGGCCAAUCAAACCGGGAGAUAGCUGGUUCUCCCCGAAAGCUAUUUAGGUAGCGCCUCGUGAAUUCAUCUCCGGGGGUAGAGCACUGUUUCGGCAAGGGGGUCAUCCCGACUUACCAACCCGAUGCAAACUGCGAAUACCGGAGAAUGUUAUCACGGGAGACACACGGCGGGUGCUAACGUCCGUCGUGAAGAGGGAAACAACCCAGACCGCCAGCUAAGGUCCCAAAGUCAUGGUUAAGUGGGAAACGAUGUGGGAAGGCCCAGACAGCCAGGAUGUUGGCUUAGAAGCAGCCAUCAUUUAAAGAAAGCGUAAUAGCUCACUGGUCGAGUCGGCCUGCGCGGAAGAUGUAACGGGGCUAAACCAUGCACCGAAGCUGCGGCAGCGACGCUGAUGCGUUGUUGGGUAGGGGAGCGUUCUGUAAGCCUGCGAAGGUGUGCUGUGAGGCAUGCUGGAGGUAUCAGAAGUGCGAAUGCUGACAUAAGUAACGAUAAAGCGGGUGAAAAGCCCGCUCGCCGGAAGACCAAGGGUUCCUGUCCAACGUUAAUCGGGGCAGGGUGAGUCGACCCCUAAGGCGAGGCCGAAAGGCGUAGUCGAUGGGAAACAGGUUAAUAUUCCUGUACUUGGUGUUACUGCGAAGGGGGGACGGAGAAGGCUAUGUUGGCCGGGCGACGGUUGUCCCGGUUUAAGCGUGUAGGCUGGUUUUCCAGGCAAAUCCGGAAAAUCAAGGCUGAGGCGUGAUGACGAGGCACUGCGGUGCUGAAGCAACAAAUGCCCUGCUUCCAGGAAAAGCCUCUAAGCAUCAGGUAACAUCAAAUCGUACCCCAAACCGACACAGGUGGUCAGGUAGAGAAUACCAAGGCGCUUGAGAGAACUCGGGUGAAGGAACUAGGCAAAAUGGUGCCGUAACUUCGGGAGAAGGCACGCUGAUAUGUAGGUGAAGUCCCUCGCGGAUGGAGCUGAAAUCAGUCGAAGAUACCAGCUGGCUGCAACUGUUUAUUAAAAACACAGCACUGUGCAAACACGAAAGUGGACGUAUACGGUGUGACGCCUGCCCGGUGCCGGAAGGUUAAUUGAUGGGGUUAGCGCAAGCGAAGCUCUUGAUCGAAGCCCCGGUAAACGGCGGCCGUAACUAUAACGGUCCUAAGGUAGCGAAAUUCCUUGUCGGGUAAGUUCCGACCUGCACGAAUGGCGUAAUGAUGGCCAGGCUGUCUCCACCCGAGACUCAGUGAAAUUGAACUCGCUGUGAAGAUGCAGUGUACCCGCGGCAAGACGGAAAGACCCCGUGAACCUUUACUAUAGCUUGACACUGAACAUUGAGCCUUGAUGUGUAGGAUAGGUGGGAGGCUUUGAAGUGUGGACGCCAGUCUGCAUGGAGCCGACCUUGAAAUACCACCCUUUAAUGUUUGAUGUUCUAACGUUGACCCGUAAUCCGGGUUGCGGACAGUGUCUGGUGGGUAGUUUGACUGGGGCGGUCUCCUCCUAAAGAGUAACGGAGGAGCACGAAGGUUGGCUAAUCCUGGUCGGACAUCAGGAGGUUAGUGCAAUGGCAUAAGCCAGCUUGACUGCGAGCGUGACGGCGCGAGCAGGUGCGAAAGCAGGUCAUAGUGAUCCGGUGGUUCUGAAUGGAAGGGCCAUCGCUCAACGGAUAAAAGGUACUCCGGGGAUAACAGGCUGAUACCGCCCAAGAGUUCAUAUCGACGGCGGUGUUUGGCACCUCGAUGUCGGCUCAUCACAUCCUGGGGCUGAAGUAGGUCCCAAGGGUAUGGCUGUUCGCCAUUUAAAGUGGUACGCGAGCUGGGUUUAGAACGUCGUGAGACAGUUCGGUCCCUAUCUGCCGUGGGCGCUGGAGAACUGAGGGGGGCUGCUCCUAGUACGAGAGGACCGGAGUGGACGCAUCACUGGUGUUCGGGUUGUCAUGCCAAUGGCACUGCCCGGUAGCUAAAUGCGGAAGAGAUAAGUGCUGAAAGCAUCUAAGCACGAAACUUGCCCCGAGAUGAGUUCUCCCUGACUCCUUGAGAGUCCUGAAGGAACGUUGAAGACGACGACGUUGAUAGGCCGGGUGUGUAAGCGCAGCGAUGCGUUGAGCUAACCGGUACUAAUGAACCGUGAGGCUUAACCUUACAACGCCGAAG
rnacentral:rRNA from 1 species